UUCAACCAAAUUUCUUUCGAAUACGAUGAAUCCUUUUAAACCAAAACAUCGGCCCUAAUAACUUUCGAUUUAAACUUCUCAACAACUCGAAUUGGGUUCCAUCGAUUAUUUAGCAAGGCUUAUAGCAAUUACAGUGGUUUCCAUCACAACUUCCAUAAGCUUCAUCCCCGUUAGAUACUUUGCACAAUCCUGUGCAUUGCUUUACAUCACACGAUUUAAAGCCGCGAAUCGGCCCUAGGAAACACACUCCAUCGAUCGUUCUUGCAGCAUCCACUCCCAUGUGAC
rnacentral:lncRNA from 1 species